rnacentral:rRNA from 1 species
AGUGAACGCUGGCGGUAGGCCUAACACAUGCAAGUCGAACGGCAGCACAGUAAGAGCUUGCUCUUACGGGUGGCGAGUGGCGGACGGGUGAGGAAUACAUCGGAAUCUACUUUUUCGUGGGGGAUAACGUAGGGAAACUUACGCUAAUACCGCAUACGACCUACGGGUGAAAGCAGGGGAUCUUCGCACCUUGCGCGAUUGAAUGAGCCGAUGUCGGAUUAGCUAGUUGGCGGGGUAAAGGCCCACCAAGGCGACGAUGCGUAGCUGGUCUGAGAGGAUGAUCAGCCACACUGGAACUGAGACACGGUCCAGACUCCUACGGGAGGCAGCAGUGGGGAAUAUUGGACAAUGGGCGCAAGCCUGACCCAGCCAUACCGCGUGGGUGAAGAAGGCCUUCGGGUUGUAAAGCCCUUUUGUUGGGAAAGAAAAGCAGCAGGUUAAUACCCCGCUGUUCUGACGGUACCCAAAGAAUAAGCACCGGCUAACUUCGUG